rnacentral:rRNA from 1 species
GGGAGGUAGUGACAAUAAAUAACAAUACGGGGUCCUUUAGGGUCUCGUAAUUGGAAUGAGUACAAUUUAAAUCUCUUAACGAGGAACAAUUGGAGGGCAAGUCUGGUGCCAGCAGCCGCGGUAAUUCCAGCUCCAAUAGCGUAUAUUAAAGUUGUUGCAGUUAAAAAGCUCGUAGUUGAAUUUCGAGAUCAGUACGCUGGUCGUGCCUUCGGUAUGCACUGGUGUCACUGGUUUCUCCCUUCUGAAGAACCGUCAUGUCAUUAAGUUGGUGUGGCGGGGAAUCAGGACUGUUACUUUGAAAAAAUUAGAGUGUUUAAAGCAGGCUCGCGCUUGAAUACAUUAGCAUGGAAUAAUGAAAUAGGACGUUUGACCCUAUUUUGUUGGUUUCUAGGAUCGACGUAAUGAUUAAUAGGGAUAGUUGGG